rnacentral:lncRNA from 1 species
CGCGGGUGCGGUUGGUCGGCAGGUCUUUUUUGCAAAAAGGGCGAGCGCAUCGGCGCGUCGCAGGCGAGGACCGACAGUCGCGAGGACCCGCGCGUCCACUUUUUGGGCGCCCGUCCACUUGCCAGCAGCCCCCUCGUCCGCGCUGUCGCCGGCGUGGUUGUGCCUCUCGACCUUUUCGAGUCCGGCGGCCCCAGUCCCACGAACGGUCCCGGCUCAUGCUGUCUCGUGACUCACGACUUUAACUCGACCCCCUGGCGGCAAUCGGACCAGCCGACAUCGCCAUUUGAGCCGCGGACAAAGAGUCAAACCCUGCAGUCAGUCGCACUCGAGUUUGUGUUUGCGCUUGGGGCUCCAUUUCCCUGGACAACUCUGCGCGCAAUUUGUUCAUGAUUCGGAAAACAACGCCGGCGAGUUCAAUUCCCA